GUUUUAAAAAAAUUUAUGGCAUAGUUGGUUAUCACAUCUGUCUAUCACACAGAAGGUCUCCAGUUCAAAUCUGGACAAAGACA